CCCCGGCGCCCCAAGUGGUGGUCACAAUUAUUGGGUUUAAAGCAUCCGUAGCCGGCUCUGUAAGUUUUCGGUUAAAUCCAUGUGCUCAACGCAUGGGCUGUCGAAAAUACUGCAUAGCUAGGGAGUGGGAGAGGUAGACGGUACUCGGUAGGAAGGGGUAAAAUCCUUUGAUCUAUCGAUGACCACCUGUGGCGAAGGCGGUCUACCAGAACACGUUCGACGGUGAGGGAUGAAAGCUGGGGGAGCAAACCGG
rnacentral:rRNA from 1 species